GUGGGGAGGGGAGACUAUGCCAUCAGCGAAAGGAGGAUUGGCUGCAUCCAAAGCCAGUCCGGAUGCAAACUCACGGCCGGGCCUCGGUCGCGUGGAGUGCAAGGGGAUCGCGGCGUGGGUGGGAGUUGAAGGGGUUGAUGGGGUUGAGGGAGACGUGAGGUCUGGAGGGGGGGCACCUUCUGCAGUUGUCACCGCGUCAAUGCUGGGCAGCUGCCAGGCCACCCUUCCCCCGCUCCCCUUCCAGCAACUUCUUCCAACAGCCUCUUCCAACGGACCCCCUCACACUCCUCCCUAAAGCCUCGCCCAUCUAGCAGGGCACAAAGAAAUCUCAGUCUCCUUCCAUAAACUUUGUGCUUCCAGUUACCGCUCCCCUUCAGGAGCCCCCGCCCUCCGCCCUUCCAGUUUCUUGGCAGGAAGGUUAGGCCACUGGCAAAGUCCCCGGCAAAAGCCAGCUGAUCACAAACGCCAACUGUGUAUCUUGGGGCCCGUUAAGUCCUCUCAUCUGCCCAGGCUCUCAGGAGACCAUUUCAUUGCUGUCAGAGUUCCCGGGAGACUGCUGCGGAUACGAACCAUCCCCCACUGGGCCCACAAGGAUGGGGUGCUGAGCUGUACUCACAGAGCUUUUCGGCAUCUUGCUUGAGAGUUUCCAUUUGAAAUAGUGAAAUUCCCGAAUCGGGAGUCAGGCAGAUAUUUUCCUCACAUCCAAAAGGACGAUGGUUAGCUGGAUGAUUCGCUCUAGAUAGGAAAGGAACUUUGAGCUCUAACACGAAAUACUAACUUUGUGUGAAGUCUGUGGAAGUUCUGCAGUUCCACCCUGCCCCCAUGACCUUCCAUUCUCUUAGUUCUGCCACAGGGAAGCACCGUGGAGCUAAUAAAAGAUUUGUUAUUGUCAUAAUUUUUCAAUCAGGGAAUCAACAAAUUGACCAAGAAAGCUCCCAGGCCAAUCUUAUGAGAUAGCAAAUUACCUUCUUUAUUAUGAAAAAUAAAACUUUCUAAUGUGGUAUCAGAAGAACAUGGGACAGCUGUUCCACACAACCAUCAAAAGAUCAAAUCUUGCCAGCGCCCUGACUCCUGUUCCCCAGCACACUGUGACUCUGUAAAUCAACUUGAAGAUCUGGCACCCCCAUGUGGGUUUUGCCCAACAAAUAGCUUCUGUCUACUUGAUAUAUAACUGAUUUUUUAAUAUGAGCGAUAAUAAUAACAGUACUUGUCUUUGAGUAAUUACUACACCCCAAGCUCCGUUUUGAUUAGUUCUGACCUUAUGUUACAACCUCAUGGAAUGAAUGGACAAUGGACAAUUUUUCAGGCGGAUAGAAGAAUUGUAUUAUUUUAUUAAGUACCAACAAGAAAAGUUAAGUAUAUUUUGUUUUUACUCAGGGAUUACAGAAAUUAAUGCAUUUAUAAUCAUAUUAGCAUAGAAAUUAUUAUCUUUAAGAAGUUGCUUUUCUAAAAGCAUCAGGACUUUAUUUUUAGUAUAGAUAGCAUAGGAUAAGGACUGUGUUCCACAUACUGGGGAUAGGCAAUGCCUUCACUAAACAUCAUUGCUCUUACUUUCCCCUCUGCAGUUCAGAAUAUUCACCAUGGAUUUUCUUAUUUCCUGAUUAGGUGGGUAACAUGUCAAUGUGGCCUAUAAGACACCUGACCUGGAAAAGCUAAACACACCCAGGAGAAAGGACAAACACCGGAUCUUGACCUACACGUACCAAAUGGGGGCAGGUUGAGUUGUUCCCAUUAAGGAACAUAAAGGUGUGACUUUAUUUGAUCCAUGACAGGAAGCACACAGCUCUCUUCUUGACCAAAGUAUGUAUUGUGGCUAGACACUUACUCCACAUCUUCCUCUUCCUGGUCACAUAAGAAAAUUGCAGACCAUGUGCUCCUUUGAAGUUGGAUUGAGAAGACGUAACAAGAAAAUAACCUCCCAGACCCAACUCAUCACAAUACCACAAAAUCUUCUAUCCUUGCCUUCUCUUCUGUGACAAUUAUAUACAUCUGUCUCCUUCAUUUUAGAAAGAAGUAUUUAUUAAAGGGAUGGGUCCUUUGGGGUGGGAUACCUUUGA